UGAGAUCAAAACAAUAUCACACAAACAUUCAAAUAAAUUUAUAGUUUAAAUUUAAAGACACAUUAUCUAUUAAAGUUCUGCCGUAAUGGUGCUUUUGUAGAUGUGUAAACAUGUUCUGCAGAAGGAUUUGUCAUACUGAUGAAAAGAAACUGUUUCAAGUGCGAUUAACAGUUCAUCUUUCCGUCGAUUUAGAGAUCUACAUCGAAAUAAUAAAGCAAACAUAAUGCGCAAAUAUUAUGAAUCACAAUUCGAGUUCUCACACGAUGUAUAUCUGGGUGCACAUGAUGUACAUCCGAACAGGAAAUCUACUGGUGGAGGCAUUACCAUCCGUGCUCUUCUGUAAUCUGAUACGGGCUAUAACCAUUGAAAACUUUGCC